rnacentral:tmRNA from 1 species
GGGGCUGAUUCUGGAUUCGACGGGAUUUGCGAAACCCAAGGUGCAUGCCGAGGGGCGGUUUGCCUCGUAAAAAGCCGCAAAAAAUAGUCGCAAACGACGAAAACUACGCUUUAGCAGCUUAAUAACCUGCUCUGAGCCCUCUCUCCCUAGCUUCCGCUCU